AUUUGGAGAUCCCAUGAAUGUCUGUUGUUUCUGAGAGGUAGUCUCCUUUAGCCAGGAAACGCAAGCAUGUUAGAACCUGGAAUGAUUUAAAGGGGAACAACUCGAUGAAGUAAUAAUACAGUUGUGGCCCUUUUGGUUACUCUUCAUCCUUCUUUCAAAAUAGUGGACAAAUAGAAAUGUUUGCAAGGAUAUCAUUCGGAAUCAUUCUUUGAACAUAACCAACAUAAAUUUCCUCUGUUAAGUCAUAUCCAUAAAAAUACCUGGAUGUGGGCUGGAAUGGCAUGCGACCUCAAAGUUUGUGGCUGUAUGAAGUCUUUGACAUCGUCUGUCAGCUGCAGAAUAACUCGCCUUGGAAAUCUAUAUC